rnacentral:tRNA from 1 species
GUUAUUUUGGCAGAAAUUAUGUGUGGGAUUUAGGUUCCUAUAAAAUAGGUUUACCCUAUA